rnacentral:lncRNA from 1 species
UCUUAUUGUCUACUACACGUCCACUCCUCAGGGUAGUCAAAGCAUUGGCUUGUUCAUGAUGAAUUGUAUUUAGCUGAUUUUCUUGAGCCAUGUAUUGUCCCUUAGGAUUACUUAGUGGCUGGCUUGGAAGCUUUCCUUCCUCUCGCUUGUUCAGUGCAUUAGCUAGUUGCCCAAUUUGGGAUUCUAGCUUGGCGAUGGAUUGCGUAUGAGAGUGCACCAAUUGUGUAAUGGUUUCCAAACCUUGAAGGGAGCUCAACACUUUCUCCUCAAA